GACAGAGGGUGCAAACGUUUGUUCGGAAUUACUGGGCGUAAAGCGCGUGUAGGCGGCUAAGUAAGUCGGGCGUGAAAUCCCACGGCUCAACCGUGGAAGUGCACUCGAAACUGCAUAGCUAGAGUCCUGGAGAGGAAGGUGGAAUGCUUUGGUGUAGAGGUGAAAUUCGUAGAUAUCAAGCGGAACACCGGUGGCGAAGGCGGCCUUCUGGACAGUGACUGACGCUGAGACGGCGAAAAGCGUGGGGAGCAAACAGGG
rnacentral:rRNA from 1 species